GGGAGAGUGGGGUACCUUUAUUUAAGGGGCCACUGGAGGAGUUUUGGGAUCUUUAGUCAAAAAAGACUUGACCCUCCCUUCGCCAGCAAUAACCCUCUAAAA